rnacentral:rRNA from 1 species
UACGUAGGGAGCAAGCGUUGUCCGGAUUUAUUGGGCGUAAAGAGCUCGUAGGCGGCUUAGCAAGUCGGGUGUGAAACCUCCAGGCUCAACCUGGAGACGCCACUCGAUACUGCUAUGGCUUGAGUUCGGUAGGGGACCAUGGAAUUCCUGGUGUAGCGGUGAAAUGCGUAGAUAUUGGGAGGAACACCAGUGGCGAAGGCGGCUCACUGGACCGGUACUGACGCUGAUGCGCGAAAGCGUGGGGAGCAAACGGG